rnacentral:lncRNA from 1 species
ACGCAUGGUCCCAGCGCGCGUGCGCCCCUGAAGGCGGGUUCCGGUGGCAGCGCCGGGGUCUCAGACCCUGAGGAGACUGAGCCCAGCGCCAGGCGACCGGUCCCCGCCGCCGCCGCCCCUGCGCGGGAGAUCCCCCCUGCUUAGUCCGCGCCCGAGCCCCCGUCCGUGGGAACAGACAAGGGGCCUCCGCAGCGCCUCACAACCCCCGACCAGGUCCAGCGGCGGGGGACUCGGCCGUGGAGGGCGCUGUUCGGUCUGGAUGGCUCCCCCCAUCAGCGGGAGGCUACACCCCCCACCAGCAGGGGCAAGAGGAGCAGCGGGAUGGGAGCAGGCCAACGUCCUGCGGCCUGGUUGAGCUCGCACUGACAAUCGCAGGCCCAGUAACCCGCAGGUCACCGCGCUCCCCACCUGCGUUGCUGACGGUGACAUCGUCAGGGGAGGGGGGCGCGCCUUCCCAGAGGCUCAGGUCGCGAGGGUAGCCGGGGUCCGGGCGCGCCGCCGCCUCGUCGUAGCGCCAGUACUGCCGGCCGCGGACCAGCUCAGGCGCUCAGGACUGCCAGGACCCAGAGGAUUCACACGCCAGCCCCGGCUGAAGCCCAGCUCCUCAUCAACCGGUGAGCCGCCUGCCAGCUCCUGCUCCAGCUGCUGAGAGGCCUGAAGAGACCAAGACAGAGACACAGCCCCGCAGCACCACAGGGAGGCCCCAGUUACCCCAUGCGGAUGAGUUUCAUGGCCAUCUCUAACUAAGGACAGGACAUCGAUGUCAUCUGUAACUUCCGGUGCACUGGGGCACACAGCUGCAUCUCCCCAUGCUCACCUCCUGCCUCUUGCUCUGCCCAGUAAGCUCGCCAACCCCCGUGGACUGCUGGCUCUCAAGGCGGCCGCUAGCCCAGCUCCGACAGCAGCUGACAAUGCACAGUAUGCGGCCCAGGGCAGGCCCUGUGCUGAGAGGCAUGGGUGAAUGGCUCAUUUCAUCGGCAAGCCCACGCCACCAGCAGGCGCCGUUCUCCUCGCAUUUCUCAGGCGAGGAACCUGAGACAAUGAGGUUAAGGAAGUUGUUCAUUACAAGUGGAAGAACCCUGACUUACUUGAAUUCAGCUUUGAAGCCCACAUUCUCUUUUUCUGUGUGUGUGACAGGGUCUCACUUUGUCACCCAGGCCGCAGUGCAGUGGUGUGAACACAGCUCAUUGCAGUCUCAACCUCCCUGACUCAAGCAAUCCUCCUGCCUUAGCCUCCUGAGUAGCUGGGACUACAAGCAUGUGCCACCACGCCCAGCCGAAGCCCAUAUGUGAAUGUUGAGGCACACAGCCUCCCCAGCCUCUGCCUUACCAAGCCCUCCACAGGGCCUAGGCACCCUCCCUGGCUGCCCCCUUCCCCCGUCACUCAGGCUCCCCAGCAGCCAAUGUAGUUAAUAUGGGGCUGCAAAGAGCUGGGCCUGGCCUCAGGCGGGACCGCCUCCCCGGCAUUGCCAUCCCUGCUGCAGAGCUCCCAUGCGAUCAGCCUCCUCUCCAGCUGAGACCACAUCCUCACUCAGCUUCUAGGCUGUUCCUGCUCCCCAUUCCCCUCAGCACAUGGCCCCUGAGAAACUGCUUGCACAAGAAUUUCCCUCUGGAGCCCCACCUCUGGGGAACCUGACCUCAGACAGAGGAGACCAAGCUCUAGGGCAGGAUCCUCCACCUCCCUUGCCCCACCGGUGUGGCCAGCCCAGAGCGCUGCAGACUCCCGCCCAGACCUGCACUUGUGCCUGCCUUCUGCCAGCCUGCUCCUCCUCCUCCCACUCUCACACCUGCAUUAACAGCACCAGGACGCCAUCCUCCAAGGGCCCCAGCCUCAUCUCCCCUGUCACCAGGAUCCAGCCAGAUCUCAAUCCUUGCCCAUCCUAACUGAACCUCCCUCAGAUCCGUCCACUGCCCCCUUCCCCAGGACCACACUCCACCAUCUCUUGCCUGGACCCUGCGAGAACUUCCUGCCUCCCUGCCUCUAUCCUACCCCCUGCCCCCCGCUGAAGCUGAUGAUAGUUCCGGAAUGCAAAACCCCUUAAUGAUUCCCCCAUUGAUCAAAGUCUUCCACAUGCUUUCAAGGUCCUUGGUGAUCCAGGACCUGCCGCCUUCUGCAGUCUCCCUACUGAUGCCAUAGUUUUGGCUUCUGGCCUCAUAUGUCCCGGGUCAUUUCUCUGGUCACUGGCUCCUCUUACCCCUGACUCAGCUGGCUCACUGCUUUCCCAUUGGAUCUCAACCCUGUGUACCUGGGGAGAGCGGAACUCUGUAUGUCUUGUCUUGUGCUAGUAGUCACUCAGUGUGUAUGUGUGGAUAUUCAUAUAUAUAUAUAUAUAUAUUUGAAAAAAAAAAA